UACGAAGGUCCCAAGCGUUAUCCGGAUUAUUGGGUUUAAAGGGUGCGUAGGCGGCUUAUUAAGUCAGUGGUGAAAGCUCCAUGCUUAACGUGGAAAUUGCCAUUGAUACUGAUGAGCUUGAGUAUAUUUGAAGUGGGCGGAAUGUGUCGUGUAGCGGUGAAAUGCUUAGAUAUGACACAGAACACCGAUUGCGUAGGCAGCUCACUAAACUAUAACUGACGCUGAGGCACGAAAGCAUGGGGAUCAAACAGGAUUAGA
rnacentral:rRNA from 1 species